CCAGGAUGGGGCAGCGUGUACUUGGAGUCCAAUGAAAGAUAUUAAUCCAGAGAGUGGAACAAGAAGCGUCAUCUAAAAUGCCAGGAUACAGAAGAAACAGGUUGCAGUGAACCCACAUGUCGCCGCUGUUCAAAACACAAUGAUGAAUAUUCAGUGUAAUCGAUGAAAAUUCCAGCUACUUGUUGUGCUCUGAUGGAUCAAGAUGUGGACCGUUUUACAGACUCACUUGGGCCUUGUUUUGCAAUGUUGUUUCAU